GCUGGGUAUGGUGGCUCAUGCCUGUAAUCCCAGCACUUUGGGAGGCUGAGGUGGGUGGAUCACUUGAGGUCAGGAGUUUGAGACCAACCUGACCAACAUGGUAAAACCCCAUCUCUU
ensembl:misc_RNA Metazoa_SRP Metazoan signal recognition particle RNA